ACACAUGCAAGUCGAGCGGAAACGACACUAACAAUCCUUCGGGUGCGUUAAUGGGCGUCGAGCGGCGGACGGGUGAGUAAUGCCUAGGAAAUUGCCUUGAUGUGGGGGAUAACCAUUGGAAACGAUGGCUAAUACCGCAUAAUGCCUACGGGCCAAAGAGGGGGACCUUCGGGCCUCUCGCGUCAAGAUAUGCCUAGGUGGGAUUAGCUAGUUGGUGAGGUAAUGGCUCACCAAGGCGACGAUCCCUAGCUGGUCUGAGAGGAUGAUCAGCCACACUGGAACUGAGACACGGUCCAGACUCCUACGGGAGGCAGCAGUGGGGAAUAUUGCACAAUGGGCGAAAGCCUGAUGCAGCCAUGCCGCGUGUAUGAAGAAGGCCUUCGGGUUGUAAAGUACUUUCAGUUGUGAGGAAGGGGGUAGCGUUAAUAGCGCUAUCUCUUGACGUUAGCAACAGAAGAAGCACCGGCUAACUCCGUGCCAGCAGCCGCGGUAAUACGGAGGGUGCGAGCGUUAAUCGGAAUUACUGGGCGUAAAGCGCAUGCAGGUGGUUCAUUAAGUCAGGAUGUGAAAGCCCGGGGCUCAACCUCGGAACUGCAUUUGAAACUGGUGAACUAGAGUACUGUAGAGGGGGGUAGAAUUUCAGGUGUAGCGGUGAAAUGCGUAGAGAUCUGAAGGAAUACCAGUGGCGAAGGCGGCCCCCUGGACAGAUACUGACACUCAGAUGCGAAAGCGUGGGUAGCAAACAGGAUUAG
rnacentral:rRNA from 1 species